rnacentral:rRNA from 1 species
GUGGGGAAUAUUGGACAAUGGGCGCAAGCCUGAUCCAGCCAUGCCGCGUGUGUGAAGAAGGCCUUUUGGUUGUAAAGCACUUUAAGCGAGGAGGAGGCUCCUUUAGUUAAUACCUAAAGAGAGUGGACGUUACUCGCAGAAUAAGCACCGGCUAACUCUGUGCCAGCAGCCGCGGUAAUACAGAGGGUGCAAGCGUUAAUCGGAUUUACUGGGCGUAAAGCGCGCGUAGGUGGCCAAUUAAGUCAAAUGUGAAAUCCCCGAGCUUAACUUGGGAAUUGCAUUCGAUACUGGUUGGCUAGAGUAUGGGAGAGGAUGGUAGAAUUCCAGGUGUAGCGGUGAAAUGCGUAGAGAUCUGGAGGAAUACCGAUGGCGAAGGCAGCCAUCUGGCCUAAUACUGACACUGAGGUGCGAAAGCAUGGGGAGCAAACAGGAUUAGAAACCCUGGUAGUCC